AUUCCAGCUCCAAUAGCGUAUAUUAAAGUUGUUGCAGUUAAAACGCUCGUAGUCGGAUUUCGGGGCGGGCCGACCGGUCUGCCGAUGGGUAUGCACUGGCCGGCGCGUCCUUCCUUCCGGAGACUGCGCCUACUCUUAGCUGAGCGGGCGUGGGAGACGGAUCGUUUACUUUGAAAAAAUCAGAGUGUUUCAAGCAGGCAGCUCGCUCUUGCAUGGAUUAGCAUGGGAUAAUGAAAUAGGACUCUGGUGCUAUUUUGUUGGUUUCGAACACCGGAGUAAUGAUUAACAGGGACAGUCAGGGGCACUCGUAUUCCGUCGAGAGAGGUGAAAUUCUCAGACCAAUGGAAGACGAACCACUGCGAAAGCAUUUGCCAGGGAUGUUUUCAUCA
rnacentral:rRNA from 1 species